CAAAGGCUUGGUCCUGACUUUACUAUCAACUUUAGCCAAACUUACACAUGCAAGUAUCCGCACCCCCGUGAGAAUGCCCCACAGUUCCCUGCCCGGGAACAAGGAGCUGGUAUCAGGCACAUUUAACUAUAAGCCCACGACACCUUGCUUAGCCACACCCUCAAGGGAACUCAGCAGUGAUAAACAUUAAGCUAUAAGUGAAAACUUGACUUAGUCAAGGCUAAGAGGGCCGGUAAAACUCGUGCCAGCCAC
rnacentral:rRNA from 1 species